rnacentral:snRNA from 1 species
GUGCUCGUUUCAGCAGCACGUGGAAGGAUCCAGAGAUUAGCAUGGCCCCUGUGCAAGGAUGACAUGGAAAUUCAUGAGGCAUUCCAUAUUCUU